CUCCCGCACCCCCCCACACACCCUGGAGGAUUUCUUAAUGGGGUGAAAAUGCCAGUCCCCGAAGCCAGGGUUCCCGGACCCCUAGGGCCGAGCUGGGCACAGGAGCCCCGCAGGGGCGGAGAGGCCGGCCGAGCUUGAAGAAGUGGAGGAGAGAUCAGCACAAGUGGGGCAUACCCGUCCCGUCUUCCUGCUCACCCUCCUUUGCCCCCAACUCCAUCUCUGCGACACCCUGCCCCCCCAAAAGAAGUCACUCCAGGGCUCUGUCUGCAGAGAGCCAGGGUGAGAGCGGGCAAGGCGAGAGAGAGCGACCUCGGUCGUGGGCAAGUAGCUUGUUUUUACGUCCUUCAAUAAAAUUUUUAUGAGGAUCA